UGGGUUCCGGUAACGUUGCGUUUGUGAGGAUCCGUUGGCUACGUCCGUUUGUCUUCUUCAUGGACUCAUUCUUCUUCCUUGUGGGAUCUCAGGCAAGAUGACCAUACCCUCGAAAUCACUUCUAUCUUUGUUUGCUAGUUGCUCGCUCUUUUGCUAUGCCUAUGCUGCGAUAUCUACCACUUGCUUAUCAUGCCUCCCAUAUUGUUAAACCAAGCCUCUAACCCACCUUGUCCUAGCAAACCGUUGUUUGACUAUGUUACCGCUUUGCUCAGCCCCUCUUAUAGCGUUGUUAGUUGCAGGUGAAGAUUGGAGCUUGUUCCAUGUUUGGAACAUGGAUAUUUGUUGGGAUAUUACAAUAUCUCUUAUUUAAUUAAUGCAUCUAUAUACUUGGUAAAGGGUGGAAGGCUCGGCCUUAUGCCUGGUGUUUUGUUCCACUCUUGCCGCUCUAGUUUCCGUCAUAUCGGUGUUAUGUUCCCAGAUUUUGCGUUCCUUACGCGGUUGGGUUAUAAUGGGAACCCCUUGACAGUUCGCCUUGAAUAAAACUCCUCCAACAAUGCCCAACAUUGGUUUUACCAUUCGCCACCUAGCCUCUUUUUCCCUUGGGUUUCGCGGACUCAAGGGUCAUCAUUAUUUUAACCCCCCCGGGCCAGUGCUCCUCUAAGUGUUGGUCCGAACUGAGCAGCCUGCGGGGCCACCUCGGGGAAACUUGAGGGUUGGUUUUACUCGUAGCUAGUCUCAUCUGAGUGUGACCUGAGAACGAGAUAUGUGCAGCUCCUAUCGGGAUUUGUCGGCAUAUUCGGGCGAUGUUGCUGGACUUGUUUUAUCUUUGUCGAAGUUGUCUUGUAGAACCGGGAUGCCGAGUCUGAUCGGAAUGUCUCGGGAGAAGGUUUAUCCUUCGUUGACCGUGAGAGCUUGUGAUGGGCUAAGUUGGGACACCCCUGCAGGGAUUUGAACUUUCGAAAGUCGUGCCCACGAUUAUGGGCAGAUGGGAAUUUGUUAACGUCCGCUUGUAGAAAACCCGAAGUUGAUCCUAAUUAAAAUACAUCAACCGCGUGUGUAGCCAUGAUGGUCUCUUUCCGGCGGAGUCCGAGAAGGGAACACGGUGUUGGAGUAAUGCUUGGCGUAGGUUGUUCUAGGAUCGCUUCUUGAUCAUAGAUUCUCGAUCGUGCUUUGUCUUCUCUUCUCGCUCUCUUUUGCGAAUAGGUUGCCAUCAUAUAUGCUAGUCGCUUGCUGCAGCUCCACAUCAUACCUUUACCUUACCCAUAAGCUUAAAUAGUCUUGAUCGCGAGGGUGUGAGAUUGCUGAGUCCCUGUGACUCACAGAUACUUCCAAAACCAGCUUGCAGGUGCCGAUGAGUCCAUGCAGAUGACGCAACUAAGCUCAAGGAGGAGCUCGUUGAAGAUCUUGUCCUUUGUGUUGUUCCGUUUUCCCAGUUGAUCAGUAGUGGAGCCCAGUCGGGACGAUCGGGGAUCUGUGUAGCAUUUGGGGUAGUCUUCUUUUAUUUUGGCUCCGUAGUCGGGCCUUGAAUGUAUCUGGUUGAUGUAAUGCUUUAUUCAUGUAUUUGUG
rnacentral:lncRNA from 1 species